rnacentral:rRNA from 1 species
AUUGAACGCUGGCGGCAGGCCUAACACAUGCAAGUCGAGCGGAUGAAGGGAGCUUGCUCCUGGAUUCAGCGGCGGACGGGUGAGUAAUGCCUAGGAUUCUGCCUGGUAGUGGGGGAUAACGUCCGGAAACGGGCGCUAAUUCCGCAUACGUCCUGAGGGAGAAAGUGGGGGAUCUUCGGACCUCACGCUAUCAGAUGAGCCUAGGUCGGAUUAGCUAGUUGGUGGGGUAAAGGCCUACCAAGGCGACGAUCCGUAACUGGUCUGAGAGGAUGAUCAGUCACACUGGAACUGAGACACGGUCCAGACUCCUACGGGAGGCAGCAGUGGGGAAUAUUGGACAAUGGGCGAAAGCCUGAUCCAGCCAUGCCGCGUGUGUGAAGAAGGUCUUCGGAUUGUAAAGCACUUUAAGUUGGGAGGAAGGGCAGUAAGUUAAUACCUUGCUGUUUUGACGUUACCAACAGAAUAAGCACCGGCUAACUUCGUG